UUUGAAACACUGGUUCCUGUACAAUCACUGAAAUUAAGCAAUGUUGAGCCUGGUCAGUACUUAGUUGGGUGACCACUUAAGAAUACUAGGCGCU